rnacentral:rRNA from 1 species
GACGAACGCUGGCGGCGUGCUUAACACAUGCAAGUCGAACGGAAAGACCCUGCCUUUGUGGGGUGCUCGAGUGGCGAACGGGUGAGUAACACGUGAGUAACCUGCCCUUGACUUUGGGAUAACUUCAGGAAACUGGGGCUAAUACCGGAUAGGAGCUCCUGCUGCAUGGUGGGCGUUGGAAAGUUUCGGCGGUUGGGGAUGGACUCGCGGCUUAUCAGCUUGUUGGUGGGGUAGUGGCUUACCAAGGCGUUGACGGGUAGCCGGCCUGAGAGGGUGACCGGCCACAUUGGGACUGAGAUACGGCCCAGACUCCUACGGGAGGCAGCAGUGGGGAAUAUUGCACAAUGGGCGGAAGCCUGAUGCAGCAACGCCGCGUGCGGGAUGACGGCCUUCGGGUUGUAAACCGCUUUCGCCUGUGACGAAGCGUGAGUGACGGUAAUGGGUAAAGAAGCACCGGCUAACUACGUG